rnacentral:rRNA from 1 species
GGAGUCUAACAGAUUGGCGAGUCAACAGAACCUCGUACUUCUUUUGGCGCAGCGAAGGCGCUAGUCGGUCUCGCGAUGCGGAGCAAUCCGUUCGCGAACCGACGCACCGUUGUGAGAUGACGGAGGCCAUCCGCCGCGAAUACGUUUCGGCGGGCACACCUCUCGCAAUCUCGAGGCGGUCUCGUUCUCAUCGCGAGAGGAGCCGCACUCCGAGCCAAUAUGUUGGUACCCGAAAGAUGGUGAACUAUUCCUGAUCAGGGUGGAGUUAGGGGAAACUCUGAUGGAAGCUCGUUCACGAUUCUGACGUGCAAAUCGAUCGUCUAAGUCAGGUAUAGGGGCGAAAGACCAAUCGAACCAUCUAGUAGCUGGUUCCUUCCGAAGUUUCCCUCAGGAUAGCUAGAACUUCGUAGAGAGUUAUAUGUGGUAAAGCGAAUGAUUAGAGGUAUUGGGGCCGAAACGGCUUCAACCUAUUCUCAAACUUUCAAUAUGUGUGCACCGUUAGCUUGCAACUUACGUGCAACGAAGCUAUCGGCAAAUGCGAGCACACCUAGUGGGCCAUUUUUGGUAAGCAGAACUGGCGAUGUGGGAUGAACCGAAUGUAACAGCUAGAGUGCCAAAAACGAUGUUUAUGGGAGACCACAAAAGGCGUUAGUAACUA